rnacentral:tRNA from 1 species
ACAUUUUUAUUAUAAAAGUAUAUUUGACUUCCAAUCAAAAAGUCCGUCUACGGAAAAUGUA